rnacentral:rRNA from 1 species
GGCAGCUAACCAUGCAGUCGAGCGCCCCGCAGGGGGAGCGGCAGACGGGUGAGUAACGCGUGGGAAUCUACCCAUCACUACGGAACAACUCCGGGAAACUGGAGCUAAUACCGUAUACGUCCUUCGGGAGAAAGAUUUAUCGGUGAUGGAUGAGCCCGCGUUGGAUUAGCUAGUUGGUGGGGUAAUGGCCUACCAAGGCGACGAUCCAUAGCUGGUCUGAGAGGAUGAUCAGCCACACUGGGACUGAGACACGGCCCAGACUCCUACGGGGGGCAGCAGUGGGGAAUAUUGGACAAUGGGCGCAAGCCUGAUCCAGCCAUGCCGCGUGAGUGAUGAAGGCCCUAGGGUUGUAAAGCUCUUUCAACGGUGAAGAUAAUGACGGUAACCGUAAAAAAAGCCCCGGCUAACUUCGUGCCAGAC